rnacentral:rRNA from 1 species
UACGGAGGGUGCGAGCGUUAAUCGGAAUUACUGGGCGUAAAGGGCGCGUAGGCGGCUGAUCAAGUCAGGUGUGAAAGCCCACGGCUUAACCGUGUGAAGUGCAUCUGAAACUGGUCGGCUUGAGUAUCGGAGAGGAAAGUGGAAUUCCCGGUGUAGAGGUGAAAUUCGUAGAUAUCGGGAGGAAUACCGGUGGCGAAGGCGACUUUCUGGACGAAUACUGACGCUGAGGCGCGAAAGCGUGGGGAGCAAACAGGAUUAGAUACCCCCGUAGUCC